GGGGGUGUACUGGUUUCGACAGGGAUAUGUUUGGUAUAGAUUGCAGUCGAGUGGUUACGUAAUAACCAAUGAAAUUAAACGGAAAAACUAAAUUUGCUAACAUCUUUGGUGCAAACCAGAGUGUAGCUUUCGCUGCCUAAUUAACCGACAUAGGUUCGCAGCCGGCUAUGUCCCUUGCUUCUCUGAUCGGACAUACGCACGCUUAAGACACAGAGGAUAAGGGAGUAUAUUGUCUAAGCUAUACUUCACGAAAAUCUUAUUAGACACCUCAUUUGGAGUUGUCCGUGAUUACCAAAUGAGUAGCUGACAUGGACUAAACUGUAGACAUCUAUACGUGGGACUGUUUCUGGACAGGGGUUCAACUCCCCUCACCUCCACCA
rfam:Eubacterium dolichum CAG:375 genomic scaffold, scf83